UCUGCAAUUUUUUGGCAGAUCUUCUGCUGACAUGCAAGAAGACAGCCUGGCGAGAAAUCCAACUAUGUGUUUACCUUUGAACAGAUGGUGGGACCUGACUUCUGAUGAGCUCCUGUUGGCUCUAGUAGGUUCUGGCCUGCUCUUAGUGCUGACUCUCACAUUAGUUGCCCCCAGUGCAGGAUGAGGGUGCUUAAUGCUCAAGAUGGAGGAGGAAAAAGAAGACUUGCAGUAGUUGUGAUCUUUGGUUCUAAGCCAAGGAAGUUUGGCUAUCUCUGGAAGAGGGGAAGUUUGAAUAAAUUAUCCAAGUCAUUGCAGAGAUUAUUACUCCCUCUGGGUCUUCUCUGGGAAAGGUGAUGAUGGGAGAGCACGGGAAAGGAAGCAAUUGAAGUUUGGUAGAGCAGAGGCUUGUGCCUAAUAUUGGGCUGCCCCGACAAAAACAUGCCUGUGAAGUGUGUACAGUGAAAGCACCUAGCAAUGUUUGUUUUUGCUGGCUGCACAUCUGUGGUCCUUAAAUGUGGUGGAAUCUAGUGCCAGAGUACAGAAGAAGGCAUCUGAAGCUUUCCAGCUGAGUGUGUUAGACUCCUGGCACUGCUGUUGUACUCUGGUGCAUUACUCAGCUUUUGUGCUGCCAGACUGAAAUGUCAAUGCAAGUAACUGUCAGCCUCCCAGGAGGUGAAAUGGAGAGCACCAUUCCCCCCUCCCUAGGAUUUGGGAGAAAAUGGCCCCUGUGUCUGGAAAGAAACCUCAUACUGACCUCACCGAAGAAAUCUGGAUGUCUUCUUCCUGCUUUAAAAGAGCAAAUAAGGAUGAAUAUAGAUGAAGUGGCCAGCAAAACUUCAAGCCAAGUCAGUUACAACAUAUCUGCAACCACAAGCCAAUUAGACCUGCCCUGGGGGUUUAAUACAGCGUGCGAGACAAUGUCAGUAUCUGAAAGUCUGCAGUGCUUUCUAGCCCAUGCAAAAAAAUAAAAACAAAAU